GGCGGGGUAGCUCAGAUGGUUAGAGCGCAGGAUUCAUAACCCUGAGGUCAGGGGUUCAACUCCCCUCUCCGCUACUA
rnacentral:tRNA from 1 species